rnacentral:rRNA from 1 species
CCUACGGGUGGCAGCAGUGAGGAAUAUUGGUCAAUGGCCGGAAGGCUGAACCAGCCAAGCCGCGUGAGGGAGGAAGGCGCAGAGCGUCGCAGACCUCUUUUGCCGGGGGACAAAAUGCCGGACUCGUCCCGUCCUGAGGGUACCCGGAGAAAAAGCAUCGGCUAACUCCGUGCCAGCAGCCGGGGAAAUACGGAGGAUCCGCGGGUUAUCCGGAUUCAUUGGGUUUAAGGGGGGCGCAGGGGGGCCUUUAAGCCGGCGGGGAAAUCGCGGGGCUAAACCCCGCAGAGCCGUCGGAACUGGGGGCCUGGAGUGCGGCGGAGGCAUGCGGAAUGCGCGGUGUAGCGGUGAAAUGCAUAGAUAUCGCGCAGAACCCCGAUUGCGAAGGCAGCGUGCCGUGCCGCCACUGACGCUGAGGCACGAAAGCGCGGGGAUCGAACAGGAUUAGAUACCCCAGUAGUC